GCAGGCAGCACUUUUACGUAAGGAAAAUGUAGGGAGUUAGCGGUCUGGUGUAAUAUAUAGAAAUCUGUGAGCGCAACCGUGCAGCCGAGUCGCCGCCAUUUUGUUUAUUUUCGCGAGACAGAGAGAGAUCCGUGAACGACGAUCGCGACGUACGGGAUCGGCCCGCGCGUAUUCGUUCGUGUUCGUCGUAAUAAACGUCCGGCUUCACGAGCCGGAAGGUGAGAAAUAAUUAAGUAGAGAAGAAAGGAUCUGUUGCGAGAACAACGGUACAGGUGGGUUCGCUCGCAAACGGAAGUCAUAGCGAAGUCGAUCGAGAAUUAGAGAGUGAGCUCGAUCGAGGAGAACCGUGGUGGCGACGACGACUAGCAGAUUCGAGACUCGAGUAGAGAAAGAAAGAGAGAGAGAGAGAGAGAGGAAGAGUGAAAGGGGGAAAAGGAGCGAAAGAGAGAGAGUGAGAGGGAGAGAAAGAACGCGAAGUGAAUAACGGCGCGCAACAUUGUCAACGUCGUCUGCGAUCGUCGUCCUCGUAUACAACCGUCGGCGUAAUCCGGUAGUCGGUGAUCGCGUCGUCGCUGAGCGCCGGUAAAGCGCACAGCGGAGCGGAAACAGUUUCACGGAUUGGGAUUUUGCGCGCGCGCACGGCAGAGAGGAAGGGGGAGAGGUCGGUGCGCGAGGCGCCGCGCCGGAACGAGAGAGGAGAGGCGAGACGGCCGUCGUCGACCGUCGUCGCCACCACCAACGAACCGACCAACCAUCGCCGCCGCCGUUCCGAGCUUCGAGUUUCGACUACGAACUAAUAUCAUCGGCAUCACCAAUACCACCGCUGUCUCGUCACUAGCUAGAGCACCACUAGCAGUACCAGCCAGCAGUGGCAGCAGUCGCAACUACCACCUACCACAAACAUCGUCAGAAAUCCGUUGCUACCGUCGCCACCACCGCGAAAAUCGCACUGAUCGCAGUUGAUCGCAGUCGUGGCGACACUCGGAGCAACUCGGAGGCGCGUACGAUUUACGAAGGGAAUAAGGAAUAUAGAAUACAUGUACAACGGGUAGUACGGGUACUCGAGUCGCGUAUUUGGCGAUUUAAUAAUACGAGGGUGGAAUAUAUGCUGUGGGCGUCCCCCGUACGAGUGGGGGCACUUGAUGGCCGCAGAAAUUGGGCGAACUGCGAGCAAACAUCUAUCGACGGAGUGCGGUAAAGCGACGUCGCUGUCGAGUAGCGACGUAGGCUUCGAUAGUAGCCGGGUAAUCGUAGGAACGGAACAGCGACAGCAGUUGCAACAAUCGCAUUAUCAGCAACAACGACAAUCGUCGCCACCGUCGCAACAGCAGCAACAACUUCAACAACAGGAUCGGACCGAUCGGACUUCAUUGGCUACGGUACAGAACCGAAAGGCGCUCGGUAAAACGACGACUCCUCCUCCUCCACCUCCUCCUUCUUCUCCUCCUCCUUACCGGAAUCGCGUACCGUUUGCCACCGCGCAGCUAACAGCGGAGAACAAUCAGCAGCAGCAGCCGCUGACCAACGCGAACAACGUAACCUCGACGGCGGAGGCCGUCACCGAGGUACCCGGCGCCAUCAAAACGACCAUCAACAUCGGCUUCGCGAUGAACCACGUAAACGAUCAGGAGAAUCUCAAGCAGCUCAGCCUCGCACCUAUUCAGGUUAACGAGGUCGAAGAGAUGGACACACAGGAGGAAACCCCAAAUGAUGGUGGGGGAGACGGAACUGACAACCGUCCUAUAAAUGGUGAACAAGAAUUAGCAUGUAUAGUUCAAGAUCAAGAAAUGGAGGAAGAUGAAGCCCGAUCAGAAGCUACUUUUCGAUAUACUGUUGAGAAUAUAUCUAAGAUGAAGGAUUCACAAUUGUCCCCUGCAUGUUAUGUCCGUAACUUACCAUGGAAAAUAAUGGUGAUGCCACGGUCAAGUCAAACACAGGAGAGACAACCACAGAGAUCUCUUGGAUUUUUUCUUCAAUGUAACGGAGAGAGCGAAUCUACAUCUUGGAGUUGUUACGCUGUUGCUGAACUGCGUCUUCUUUCUUGCAAGGAAGGACAAGAACCAUUUAGCAGAAAAAUUCAACACUUGUUCUACAGUAAAGAGAAUGAUUGGGGCUUUAGUCAUUUUAUGACAUGGCAAGAUGUUCUAGAUCCUGAUAGAGGUUUCAUAAAAGACGAUUCAAUUACUCUUGAGGUUCAUGUAGUGGCUGAUGCACCUCAUGGAGUUAGUUGGGACAGUAAAAAACACACGGGAUAUGUAGGCUUAAAAAAUCAGGGUGCUACAUGUUAUAUGAAUUCUUUAUUGCAAACUCUCUAUUUUACAAAUCAAUUGCGAAAGGCAGUAUACAAAAUGCCAACAGAGAGCGACGAUUCGAGUAAGAGUGUUGCAUUAGCCUUACAAAGGGUGUUUCAUGAGUUACAGUUUUCCGACAAGCCUGUCGGUACAAAGAAAUUAACCAAAAGUUUUGGAUGGGAAACACUGGAUUCUUUCAUGCAACAUGAUGUGCAGGAAUUUCUACGAGUGCUGUUAGAUAAGUUGGAGAGCAAAAUGAAGGGAACAUGCGUGGAAGGUACAGUGCCAAAAUUGUUUGAGGGAAAAAUGGUCUCAUUUAUCAAGUGUAAAAACAUAGACUACAAAUCCACAAGGGUUGAAACAUUUUAUGAUAUACAGUUAAAUAUAAAGGGCAAGAAAAACAUUUACGAAUCUUUUAGUGAUUAUGUGAGUACAGAAAGUCUUGAUGGCGAUAAUAAAUAUGAUGCAGGAGAACACGGAUUACAGGAAGCGGAAAAAGGCGUCAUCUUUUCAUCGUUUCCACCAGUUUUACAUCUACAUUUAAUGCGUUUUCAGUAUGACCCAGUUACGGAUUGUUCAGUCAAAUUUAACGACAGGUUUGAGUUUUACGAAAAAAUUAGUCUUGGAAAAUACCUGCAGAAUAAAGAAACAACAAGUGCGGAUUACACAUUACAUGCUGUUCUGGUUCAUAGUGGCGAUAAUCAUGGAGGACAUUAUGUUGUAUUUAUUAAUCCUGCUGGCGAUGGCAAAUGGUGUAAGUUCGACGACGACGUUGUCUCACGAUGUACAAAGCAGGAAGCUAUUGAACACAACUACGGUGGUCAAGAUGAGGACAUGUCUAUGGCUGUGAAACAUUGCACUAACGCUUAUAUGUUGGUUUACAUAAGAAAUUCAGAGCUGGAAAACGUUUUGCAAGAGGUCAAGGAAGAGGACAUACCUCAAGAGCUGGUGGAGAGGCUGCAAGAGGAGAAGAGGCUGGAACAAAUAAGAAGAAAGGAAAGAACGGAAGCAUACUUGUACAUGACCGUCAAUGUCCUUCUCGAGGAUAGCUUUGACGGUCACCAAGGAAAUGAUCUCUACGACCCAGAGCACGCUUUAUAUCGUGUAUUUCGCGUACGUAAGCAGGCCACUGUGCACGAGUUUCUCGAGCUACUGAGCGAUAGUCUGAAAUAUCCAAUAGAACAGAUUCGCAUUUGGCCCUUCAGUACACGUUCAAAUCAAACCUGUAGACCUACGCUAAUUGAGCCGGACGCUGAUCUUCAAAAGCCCAUCAUCGACUGCGCGGAAAAUCACAAUCCGUGGAACGUUUUUGUUGAACUUGUACCUCCAGACUCUGACAUGACAGCAUUACCGCCUUUUGACAAGGACACUGAUGUUUUACUCUUUUUUAAACUCUACGAUCCCAAAAAUAAGAAAAUUCAUUACUGCGGUCAUCAUUAUAUGCCUGUUGUAGCUAAAGUCCAGGAGCUCAUACCAAUUUUAAACGAACGCGCCGGAUUCCCACCAGACACAGAACUUGCUUUAUAUGAGGAAAUUAAACCAAAUUUAGUUGAGAAAAUAGAUAACUUAUCGGAGCCUUUGGAAAAGGUUCUGGAAGAAUUAAUGGACGGUGAUAUCAUUGUAUUUCAAAAGGAAGGAGACAAUGAAAUGUACGAACUUCCAACGUGUCGAGAAUAUUUUAAAGAUCUAUUCUAUAGGGUAGAAGUAACAUUUUGUGAUAAGUUGAUUCCAAACGAUCCAGGUUUUACAAUGGAACUUUCAUUGAGAAUGACAUAUGAUCAAAUGGCAAAGGCCGUAGCGCAACGAGUCGGCACAGAUCCGUAUCUUUUACAAUUCUUUAAAUGUCAAAAUUAUAAAGAUUCUCCCGGCCAUCCUUUAAAAUGUACAUUCGACGGCACGCUCAAAGAACUGGUUGCGUACUGCAAAACGAAAGUAAAGAAAUUAUUUUAUCAGCAGCUCAGUAUUAGGGUGAAUGAGCUAGAAAACAAGAAACAGUUCAAGUGCAUAUGGGUAGGGCCAUCGCUUAAAGAAGAGAAAGAGAUGAUUCUUUACCCAAAUAAAAAUGGUACCGUCGCUAAUUUACUUGAGGAGGCUAAGAAGCAAGUAGAAUUAUCGGAAAAUGGUUCAGGAAAAUUAAGGAUAUUAGAAAUGACUUGCAACAAACUAUCACCUGGCCCUGGGGAUGACACACCUUUAGAUCACUUAAACACAUCAGGCACCAAAUUGUAUAGGAUAGAAGAAAUACCGCUUGACGAAGUAAAUCUAGCGGAAGGCGAAAUGCUAGUUCCUGUUGCCCAUUUUCACAAAGAAGUUUUCUCAACGUUCGGUAUACCUUUCUUCUUCAAGAUCAAACAUGGUGAACCUUUUCCCAAGAUGAAGGAUAGGUUAUUGAAGAAAUUAGGGGUUCAGGAGAAAGAAUUUGAAAAGUUUAAGUUCGCGGUGGUGACAAUGGGCAAGCCGCAAUUCAUUAUUGACUCGCCGGACUCUUGUAUCAAAAUCGAGGAUUUCCUUCCCAGAUACACCAGUCAGAUCUAUCCACUUUUAAACGCAGGCACAGCGCCACACAGGCCUUGGCUUGGCCUGGAACACGUCAACAAAGCGCCGAAGCGCUCUCGUAUCAACUACCUCGAAAAGGCCAUUAAGAUUUACAAUUAAAUUUCCACCACACGAAGAAAAAAUUAAAUUAGGCAGCCACUCAUAAUACGUAAUUUAUACGAUUCUGUAUAGUAAGAAAGCGACGUCUGGUAUAUUGAAGGUUGGAAAAAUGCGUUCAUAUUCGUUUCUUCAGCCAGAUUAAAUAUGCAAUUUUAAUAAUGCAAGAAUGACAUCGAAAGACUACGAGAACAUUGCAAGAAAAUCAUUUCGAGGGGAUACGAAAGCAAAAUUCGCAGUACGAGAAUGGUAUACGGUAUACCAAUAUAAUACACAAACAUGAAUUAUCUGCUAAGGUUAAUGCGACAAUUCAGAAGUAGUGACCCGCUGUCUGAUCGAUUAAUAAGAAUAUAAUCGAAAGAAAUCUAUAACAAAUGGUUUUUGAAGAAGACUGGACGCAUAAGUUAAGCGAGAGUACGCAGAAUAUUUUGUAAAAAGAAAUUUUAAUGUGGCUGUACAGACUGAUUGGUAGCGUAUCUAAUUAAUCAUAAUCUCAAUAUCGUGUAUCUAAAGAAAGCUGUUCCAAAUAACGUUUUGUAGAUGUCAAAUGUUUUCUUUUUUUGCUACUUUUAUAUAUAGGGUGUCCGGUUUUGACAAAACGCUUAUGAGCACCUGGCCUACAGCGGACUAAACUGAGUCUUCUACCAUCUUGCAAUUUUCGCAAUAGUUACACGUUAAAUGCCCUACGGACCGGCAUUAGACUUUCCGUUUACGCCACGGCCCCUACGAACCGGCGCUCAACUUUUAUUUAGGCUACACCGCCGCGCCGGUCCCUACAUACCGAGGAUGAACAUUUCGUUUAGGCGACGUCAAUCCUUGAAGAAUUUAAAGUAAUAAGUUGAGAAUAUAAAACUUUAUCAAAAAUUAAUGUAAUUUAUUAAAAUAAUUUAAACAAAGAUGGGGUUUUCCUUUA